rnacentral:rRNA from 1 species
GAUGAACGCUGGCGGCGUGCCUAAUACAUGCAAGUCGAGCGAACGGACGAGAAGCUUGCUUCGCUGAUGUUAGCGGCGGACGGGUGAGUAACACGUGGAUAACCUACCUAUAAGACUGGGAUAACUUCGGGAAACCGGAGCUAAUACCGGAUAAUAUUUUGAACCGCAUGGUUCAAAAGUGAAAGACGGUCUUGCUGUCACUUAUAGAUGGAUCCGCGCUGCAUUAGCUAGUUGGUAAGGUAACGGCUUACCAAGGGAACGAUGCAUAGCCGACCUCAGAGGGUGGUCGCCCACACUGGAGCUGAGACGCGGUCCAGACUCCUACGGGAGGCCGCAGUAGGGAAUCUUCCGCAAUGGUCGGAAGCCUGACGCAGCAACGCCGCGUGAGUGAUGAAGGUCUUCGGAUCGUAAAACUCUGUUAUUAGUGAAGAACAUCUGUGUAAGUAACUGUGCACAUCUUGACGGUACCUAAUCAGAAAGCCACGGCUAACUACGUG